AGAGUUCGAUCCUGGCUCAGGAUGAACGCUGGCGGCGCGCCUAACACAUGCAAGUCGAACGGUUAAAGCCCCUUCGGGGGUGCAUAGAGUGGCGAACGGCUGAGUAACACGUGGGCAACCUGCCCCCCGCACCGGGACAGCCUCGGGAAACCGUGGUUAAUACCGGAUACUCCGCCACCCCCGCAUGGGGGCGGCGGGAAAGCCCAGGCGGAGGGGGAUGGGCCCGCGGCCUGUUAGCUCGUUGGCGGGGUAACGGCCCACCAAGGCGAUGAUGGGUAGCCGGGUUGAGAGACCGACCGGCCAGAUUGGGACUGAGACACGGCCCAGACUCCUACGGGAGGCAGCAGUGGGGAAUCUUGCACAAUGGGCGAAAGCCUGAUGCAGCGACGCCGCGUGCGGGACGAAGGCCUUCGGGUCGUAAACCGCUUUCAGCAGGGACGAGGCCGAAAGGUGACGGUACCUGCAGAAGAAGCCCCGGCUAACUACGUGCCAGCAGCCGCGGUAAUACGUAGGGGGCGAGCGUUAUCCGGAUUCAUUGGGCGUAAAGCGCGCGCAGGCGGCCUGCUCGGUCGGGAGUCAAACCCGGGGGCUCAACCCCCGCCCGCUCCCGAUACCGGCGGGCUUGAGUCUGGUAGGGGAAGGCGGAAUUCCCAGUGUAGCGGUGGAAUGCGCAGAUAUUGGGAAGAACACCGGUGGCGAAGGCGGCCUUCUGGGCCACGACUGACGCUGAGGCGCGAAAGCUAGGGGAGCGAACAGGAUUAGAUACCCUGGUAGUCCUAGCCGUAAACGAUGGACACUAGGUGUGGGGGGAGGAUCCCUCCGUGCCGCAGCCAACGCAUUAAGUGUCCCGCCUGGGGAGUACGGCCGCAAGGCUAAAACUCAAAGGAAUUGACGGGGGCC
rnacentral:rRNA from 1 species